GAUGGAUUAAAUCCAAUCCAUUAACUAUUUUUUUUUUGUUUGGUAGAUGGAUUGGAUGAAUAUUAUG
rnacentral:pre_miRNA from 1 species